rnacentral:misc_RNA from 1 species
UUUUUUUUUUUUUUUUUCUUCUCUAAAGAGGAUGUGGGAAGCUAAAGGAAGAGUUGAUGAAAUUGUGUGGAGCAAGAAUAGAGGUUAAUGGCCAAUUUGAUGGAAUGUGCUUAUUAAGGAAGAAGGAAGAAAUGAUAAAUAACAAAUUCUUGGAAAGUAGUUGAAGAUGUUGGAACAAAUGCAAACGUGACACAUCUUCUCUUUGUAACUCUAUUUCUCUCUCUAAUAUGACUCUCAUUCUCUAUCUACUGUGGUUCUUCUUCUUCUCUAAAAUUCUUCUUUGCAAUUCUUGUUCAUAUACAAUGGGUUUGUGUCUGUGUGUUGUUUUUCCUUCUCUUUUAUUCUGUGGAUCUCUGAAAGUUGAAACUUUUUGGUAUGGGUUUUGGUGUUUAUUUGGUUUUAUGAUGUGAGUUUUGGGAUUAGACCAAGAAUUUUUUAGUUUUUUGUUAGAUCUAAUCUAUUUGAUUUCUUCUCAUUAUUUUCUCGACAAUUUUUUCCGCUCAACAUUGAAAUUUUUCUAGUAAAGUCUUUCCCCACCUGUAAUCAAUGGUGAGAUCUAGGCAGUUCACUUGAUGAUUCUGUUAGAUGAUAAGAUUCAAUUUGAUUUUUAGUCUACUUGUUUUCUUUAGUAUCAAAUUUGAUUACUCUAAUCUGCUUGUAGUAGAACUGUGUAUCAAUUUCAAUUGAAAAUCGUUCAAGGUUAAGUUGAAAUUAUGUAGAUUUUUAUGAAGUUAUGUCUAUAAUAAAGAAUUUUAAUUGAAUUAUUGUGUCCAGUAAAAUUGCUGUAAGUUAUCGGAUUAUAAAAUUUUGUGUUCAUAAAUAUAUUCUGUAGUAAAUGAAAAGCUGAAAGCUAAAUUGUGUUGAAUGAUAAUGUAGGCCUUCUCUAGUUGUUCCUUUAUGCUCUAUUUUUAAUACUUCUACAUCUGAUGUUCACAGGUUUGAAAAUACAAAGGAUGCAAUGAGACUAAUUAAGGAGUUGAGAUUUAAGAGUUCAAGGCCAUUUGAGAUCCCUACAGGUUAAAGAUGAUGA